rnacentral:lncRNA from 1 species
UUGUACUAAAACACAGAAAUACUAUGGAAAACUAUAAAAAGUGCAUGCAUUUUAGAGGUAAUGAAAGGUGUUUUGUUGUAGAUCUGCUUGUGUCUUCUUUUCAGAUUCCAAGGAUUUGCCUCCCCUAAUCUGUGCCAGUGGGCAGCCAAGCACAAGGACAUCACCCCUGGGUCUGGUCAGUACAAAGGGGUCAAAGAGAGAGGCUACUUCCAGCCCACACAAGCAGGAAGAAUUUGAGAAGUGGAGAGAAACUGGGGAAAUAAGUGAAGCUCCGUUGACCUCUGAAUUGACUGUCUUGAGUCUUAUAUUGUUACUUUUGGUCAGAAUAAUGGAGUUCUGAUGGAUAUUAUCCCUCGAAGCUCUAUGAUCUCAGGUACAACGAUUUGAGAUGAGGAUAUCAAGAGAUUGGGAAGAAUUAUUCAGGAAAUAUUGAUGAAAGCUGUCUUCUAGUAAGCAGUGGUCUGCUUCUCUUGCUCCUACAGCACAAUGGUCUGGAGACUCCUGGUGAUCUUAUCCCUAUGCUCUAUGUUAUGGUUUGAAUUGGGUCCCAUCAAAAUAUAUAUUGAAGUCCUAACCCUCAAGUACCUCAAAAUGUGAGUUAUUUGGAAAUAGGGCUAUGGCAGAUGUAGUUGGUUAAGAUGAGGCCAUCCUGGAGUAGGGUGGGCCUUAAAUCUAGAGGGAAUGGUGUCCUUACAAGACAGGGGAGACUUGGGAACAGAGACUGAAACACAUGGGGAGGAUGUCACAUGAUGACAGAGGCAGAGAACAGAGUGGUGCAGCUGCAGUCUGAGGACAAGGAUUGACGACCACCACCAGAAGUUGAAAAGGCAAGGAAGAGUCCAAACAGAGUCCCAGAGGGAGCAUG